AAGUCGUAACAAGGUUUCCGUAGGGUAAGUUUACAAUCCCUUCCUUCCAACCCUGUGUGUGAAAACUUGCUAACAUAAUUUUACAGUGAACCUGCGGAAGGAUCAUUACCGAGUAAGGGUCUUCCAGGCCCGACCUCCAACCCUCUGUUUAACCAACCACGUUGCUUUGGCGGGCCCGUCCUUUGGGGCCGCCGGGGGCUUUACCGCCCCUGGCCCGUGCCCGCCGGUAGCCAUCUUAAAUUCUGAUAACCGUGCCGUCUGAGUAAUAGAUAUAAAUCGUUAAAAACUUUCAACAACGGA
rnacentral:misc_RNA from 1 species